UUUUUUGUGAUCAAGCAGCCAUGGGUAGGAGAAAGCUAAAUGUGGACUCUGUACUGGCUUGAAAUGAUGCACUGACCUAUAAUUGUUGAUGAUUGUCAUAUGAAGGAAACCAGAACUGUUGGAUUUCAGUUUUCUUGUCCUAAGCCACAUAAGAGAUCCCUUGCCACACAAACGAAAGUGAAACGGAAUGACAAAGUGGUCCACACAAUGGAUACAACUGUAAAGUCCAAAGAGAUUGGAAUUAGUUGCAACUUAGAAUUUGAGAAUGCCCAUAAAAACGUAAGGU